rnacentral:tRNA from 1 species
AGUGGUUAAGCACUUGGCUGCUAACCAAAAGGUCAUUGGUUCAAACCCACUAGCCACUC